CGCUCCGCGCGCCGGCCGAGCGCACCGCUCGUGGCCGACGGUCUCGCUGCGGCCGCUACUGCCGCCCGACACACUGCCGUCACCGCCGGCACUCCGCCCGACGCCACAGCCUGACUCUCCACUGCCGCUGCAUCCUUCUCAGCUGCCUCCAUGCUGACGGCCAAACGAUACGCUUUCGAAAAAUCGAGAUGAUCCUCUUGAAAUAAACGCUGCCGUAUCGCUUCACACUGUAUACCGCAUACAAAUUGAUCCCUCAGGCUUUCUUCCAACCACGUCCCGAACUCACAGGUUUUAGACAGUUUUUUUAACACAGCUACAUAUUCCGCUAACGAUUCACCGCUCACUUGCUUCCUAUGUCGAAACUUAAAACGUUCUGCUAAAACACUCGGCUUGGGUUGCAAGUGUUUUUCUAGAAUUUUAGUCAACUGUUCGAAAGUUUUAGAUGACGGUUUGUCUGGGGUACACAAAUCUACCAAUAAUUCGUAGCACUCUAAUCCGACUACGAAACCCUGUUCUUAGAUAGGAAUAGAAGUU